rfam:Podospora anserina genomic DNA, chromosome 4.
UCUUCCGUAGUAUAGUGGUCAGUAUGUGAGCUUGUCACUCCAGCAACGCUCGAGACCCGGGUUCAAUUCCCGGCGGGAGAG